rnacentral:rRNA from 1 species
UGAGGAAUAUUGGGCAAUGCCCGAAAGGGUGACCUAGCAACGCCGCGUGGAGGAUGAAGGUCGUAAGAUUGUAAACUCCUGUUAGAGGGGAAGAAUAACUAAGUUUGGAGCUUAGUAUGACUGUACCCUCAGAGAAAGCCCCGGCUAACUACGUGCCAGCAGCCGCGGUAAUACGUAGGGGGCAAGCGUUGUCCGGAUUUACUGGGUGUAAAGGGCGCGCAGGCGGGAUAAAAAGUCAGUGGUGAAAUCCUACAGCUUAACUGUAGAACUGCCUAUGAUACGUUUAGUCUUGAGUUCGGGAGAGAGAGACGGAAUUCCAGGUGUAGUGGUGAAAUACGUAGAUAUCUGGAAGAACACCAGUUGCGAAGGCGGUCUCUUGGUCCGACACUGACGCUGAGGCGCGAAAGCGUGGGGAGCAAACA